rnacentral:rRNA from 2 species
UACGUAGGUGGCAAGCGUUGUCCGGAUUUACUGGGCGUAAAGGGCGUGCAGGCGGUUUGUUAAGUCUAGGGUGAAAGCUCCCGGCUCAACUGGGAGAGGUCCUUGGAUACUGGCAAACUUGAGGGAUGCAGAGGAAAGUGGAAUUCCCGGUGUAGUGGUGAUAUGCGUAGAUAUCGGGAGGAACACCAGUGGCGAAGGCGGCUUUCUGGGCAUUACCUGACGCUGAGACGCGAAAGCGUGGGGAGCGAACCGG